AAACCAACAGGGAUUGCCCCAGUAACGGCGAGUGAAGCGGCAACAGCUCAAAUUUGAAAUCUGGCUCUCGGGCCCGAGUUGUAAUUUGUAGAGGAUGCUUUUGGUGAGGUGCCUUCCGAGUUCCCUGGAACGGGACGCCAUAGAGGGUGAGAGCCCCGUCUGGUUGGACGCCGAACCUCUGUAAAGCUCCUUCGACGAGUCGAGUAGUUUGGGAAUGCUGCUCUAAAUGGGAGGUAUAUGUCUUCUAAAGCUAAAUACCGGCCAGAGACCGAUAGCGCACAAGUAGAGUGAUCGAAAGAUGAAAAGAACUUUGAAAAGAGAGUUAAACAGUACGUGAAAUUGUUGAAAGGGAAGCGCUUGUGACCAGACUUGGGCUUGGUUGAUCAUCCGGGGUUCUCCCCGGUGCACUCUUCCGGCCCAGGCCAGCAUCAGUUCGCCCUGGGGGACAAAGGCAUCGGGAACGUGGCUCUCUCCGGGGAGUGUUAUAGCCCGUUGCGUAAUACCCUGCGGCGGACUGAGGUUCGC
rnacentral:rRNA from 1 species